GUGCAGUGUGAAAAUAGUGUCAAAAAAUUGGUGUUAAAAUUUCAUUUUCCAAGUUAGAAUGAAGGGAGAAAAAAGUGCUUAGCCUCACCUGUCCAAUAACUCGAGGUUCAGCAUGUGCUCUGGUGGACCUUCCUCAGACUUGGUCCGAACCUCCCCGCCAAAAAACGGCGCAAACAACACGUAACCUCGUACCCGAACCGGGUCCAUCUCGCUCGAACCGGACCCCAACCGAACCGCGAGGUGGUGGGCAAUGUUCCCGCCAGAGGAGUCACCGACGACAAACACGCGGUCAAAGUCAACGUCAGCACUCAGCCAGUCGUCCCCGCCGUUUUCAUCUUCCUUCAGCCUGAGUCCCUGCCUCUGGAGCCACCUCACCGCUUCCACAGCGUCGUCGACGGCCGACGGAAGGCGGUGUUCCGGGGCGAGGCGGUAGUCCGGCGAGAGGACGACCGCCUGGAGCCCUGCGGCGAGGCGCGUGCAACAGUUGUGAAUAUGGGGCCAGGUGCGCGAACCGAAGCAGAAGCCUCCACCGUGAAGGAAAAUGACAAUAGGAAGCUUGUUGGUGUGUUGGGGUUUGUAGAAGCGAAGAGAAAGGUUGAAUCUCUUGUGGAAGAGAUAGUCCUUGAAGGUUACAGAAUGAUCUUGAACUGCUGAUAUUUUGAACUGUAUAUCGUUUGAACGGAAAAUAGAACCGUCGCUAAAGAGUUGGAGAAACCCCAAACAGUCCUCUACUACGUGCGGGAGAGAACCCAUUGAUUCUACAGAUAUUACUAUAUAUCUUCUUCUGCAAUUUCCUUUCUUUCUCUCCAUAUCUAUAUAUAUAUAUAUAUAUAUAUAUACAACUCCACCAUCUCUACAAC
rnacentral:lncRNA from 1 species